GUCUGGAGGUCAAAUACCAGACCUGGGAAGGCUGCGUAGCAAGUGUCAAGGCGUUGAGGUAGUUAUUUUUGUUCCAAGCAACUCCAGAUGGGAGAAAGUCAACCCACGCAGUCUGGAGAGGAUACUAGUCCUUCAAAAAGAGACUUCACAAGAAGCUACAGAGCUGUCCAGGCCUAAUGAGGUUACCCCAGUGGAAACUGCCCUUGAAAUGUGACUCCUGCGUUAUGGGCCAAUGAGCAGAAAAGAAGUACACCCACUAAGUGGAGACUGGUGUUAGACAGUUGUCUCCGGAAACACUUCAGCAGAGGCAAACUGGGGGAUGUGUUCCGCCAUGACUGACACUCCCUGUCAUGGGCUUUAAUUUUAUUUCACUUCUGAGAGAAAAGUUGACACAGGCUGCACCUGUGUCAGACUGCCAACACCCUUCAGCGUAGAGGUGUAGCUCUUCAUCUGCUGUGUGCGUUCCGAUGCCUUCAGAAGCAACAUUUUCUCUUGGUGGGUCCCUUUGGAAACAUCAAUGACUAAAAAGUUUAUUUUCUUCAGGCACAACUUUAACUGAGAAAAAUGUGUGGGCAUGGACACAGCAUCUGGCAUGCCUGACAACACAUAUGGCUUCCUUGCUUUGGUGGCGAAUCUGCACGCUUCAUUACUUUCUACAUUGGCAUGGAGACUUGGCCCAAACCCCGCAAGGAGUCUUGUCUAGUGCCCUAAAAGCUGGCCUUUUGAGGAAAUUUCCUCACAGCAUGGAUGCAGAGUAUUAUAAUACAUUCUUCUUAUUUACACACAAGCGUGCUGCCUGCCCAGAAAACAAAUGCCUAAAGCUCUUGAAUGAGCAGUGGGCAGCAUUUUCAGCUUUAGGAGAGUAGGAAAAGCUGCUUUGCAGAACCAUUUGGCAGGAAAUUCUUUCACCGCUGACCUGACUUGGAAGAAAUCAUUGGUCACCUGAAUGAAGUGAAUAUUUUCAUUCAAGGUCUUUCACUUACUAUUACGGUCAUUGCAGAAAAACUGUGAGCCCUUUUGGUCAGUUACCCCGCGUGGGGACAAUGCCUCAAACCUCACAAGGCCGAAAGAAAGCACUUUUGCAGAUCAGCAUUGAGAAUGACAGAGCCUUAUAAAUUUCUUGGUGUACCAAAUCUGAAGGCACCUAGAACAUUGGAAGAACCACUUGAGGGUUACUGACACUCAGACCAUCUUCAAAUUUAAAGACGGAUUCAUAAAUUCUUUCCUCAUUGACCCAGCUUCAUUGACUUAAGGACAAAAGAAAACAGGUGACAUGAAUUUAAUCUAAAAAUCUUGGAGAACUUGGUGUUUACUGACAUAACCCCACUCUAACUUGGCAAAGUGAGCAAUGGGAAUGUUAAUUUUUGUCUUUUCUAAUGCAUUUUUGGGGUUCAGGGCUUUUGACCCUUGGUGCAAUUCAAAUGGAAAUUUAAAAUUGAUUUGAUAUUGAUAUUAAAGACUGCUCCACAAUUGCAAUUUUUUAUUCAAGCCAAGCACUUAUAGUAUUCUCACUAGAAUGUGAUUUUGAGAAGAAUUA